UACCUGCAGCUCGAGUGGUAACCGCUAUUAUUGGGCCUAAAGCGUCCGUAGCCGGUUUGGUAAAUAUCUGGGUAAAUCGUGAGGCUUAACUUCACGAAUUUCGGAUAGACUGCCAGACUUGGGAUCGGGGGAGGUCAGAGGUACUCCAGGGGUAGCGGUGAAAUGUUGUAAUCCUUGGAGGACCACCGGUAGCGAAGGCGUCUGACUAGAACGAGUCCGACGGUGAGGGACGAAGCCCUGGGGCGCAAACCGGAUUAGAUACCCGGGUAGUCCAGGGUGUAAACUAUGUGGGCUUUGUAUUGGAAGUCCCACGUGGGCGUCCAGUGCAGAAGAGAAGUUGUUAAGCCCACCGCCUGGGAGUACGGUCGCAAGGCUGAAACUUAAAGGAAUUGGCGGGGGAGCACAGCAACGGGAGGAGCGUGCGGUUU
rnacentral:rRNA from 1 species